rnacentral:rRNA from 1 species
UGCGUAGGUGGUAACGCAAGUCUGGUGUGAAAUCUCGGAGCUCAACUCCGAAAUUGCACCGGAUACUGCGUGACUCGAGGACUGUAGAGGAGAUCGGAAUUCACGGUGUAGCAGUGAAAUGCGUAGAUAUCGUGAGGAAGACCAGUUGCGAAGGCGGAUCUCUGGGCAGUUCCUGACACUGGGGCACGAAGGCCCAGGGGAGCAAACG